AAAGCGGGAGCUUGCUCCUGCUGGAUUAGUGGCGAACGGGUGAGUAACACGUGAGUAACCUGCCCUUGACUCUGGGAUAAGCGUUGGAAACGACGUCUAAUACCGGAUACGACCUUCGGAGGCAUCUCCUGGGGGGUGGAAAGAAUUCCGGUCAAGGAUGGACUCGCGGCCUAUCAGCUAGUUGGUGAGGUAAUGGCUCACCAAGGCGACACGGGUAGCCGGCCUGAGAGGGUGACCGGCCACACUGGGACUGAGACACGGCCCAGACUCCUACGGGAGGCAGCAGUGGGGAAUAUUGCACAAUGGGCGCAAGCCUGAUGCAGCAACGCCGCGUGAGGGACGACGGCCUUCGGGUUGUAAACCUCUUUUAGUAGGGAAGAAGCGAAAGUGACGGUACCUGCAGAAAAAGCACCGGCUAACUACGUG
rnacentral:rRNA from 1 species